UGAGCCGGCUGAGCAGCCGCUAUUUCUUUAAUUUAAGGAGGUAGAGGAAAGUCCGGGCUCCAAAGGGCAGGGUGCCAGGUAACGCCUGGGGGACGCAAGUCUACGGAAAGUGCCGCAGAAAAUAUACCGCCUUAGUUUACAUGAGGUAAGGGUGAAAUGGUGCGGUAAGAGCGCACCGCAUUGCUGGUAACAGCGAUGGCAGGGUAAACCCCAUCCCGGAGCAAGAUCAAAUAGAAGAAUAUUGGCUAUUGCCAGACAUGCGGCCCGCAUGAUUCUUGGGUAGAUUGCUUGAGCAACGAGGCGACUUGUUGCCUAGAUGAAUGGCUGUUCUCGACAGAACCCGGCUUAUAGGCCGGCUCUUUUU
rnacentral:RNase_P_RNA from 1 species